CUGACUUGGGGCAUGAAGUCUGUGUCCCUGAAAUGCUUCAUACAAUGACCCCAAUGACCGUUGACAGGCUUUCUUCCACCAACUACCAGUUCUUGAUUCCCCCCUGGAUCUUUCCACCCCGAGCAUCUUGCUUCUGCUGUGGCUCCUCUGAAACACCACACUUGUUUGCGCGAGUGCACACCCUCCCUGACCCUCCAACAGUGUCACCAGAGGGUAUCCUUGGUUCUUGGACUCCGUGGGGAUAGUUGUUUGAGAGGACUUGAGUACCUUUGGUCCAGCCUCAUCCUUCCUUGGGGCCUGUCUUAGUCAGGGUUUCUAUUUCUGCACAAACAUCAUGACACAAAGCAAAUUGGGGAGGAAAGGGUCUAUUAAGCUUACACUUCCACAUUGUUGUUCAUCACCAAAGGAAGUCAGGACUGGAAAUCAAGCAGGUCAGGAAGCAGGAGCUGAUGCAGAGGCCGUGGAGGGAUGUUCUUUACUGGCCUGCUUUCCCUAGCUUGCUCAGUUUCCUCUCUUACAGAAACCAAGACUAUCAACCCAGGGAUGGCACCACUCACCAUGGGUCCUCCCACCUUGAUUGAGAAAAUGCCCCACAGCCAGAUCUCAUGGAGGCAUUUCCCCAACUGAAGCUCCCUUCUCUGCGAUAACUCCAGCUGUGUCAAGUUGACACAAAACCAGUCAGUACAGGGCCUCGGUGUCUCCAGCUCUAAAGUGCAGUGGCAUGGGCACCUGUGCAUCUCCUCCAAUGCUGGCAGCUUAAGGCUGGCCCGGUGGGAGCAGCUAGGUGCCAAGUUCCCUGGGCCAGGGCCUGUCUGCUGCUUCCUUUGCUUGGGGGUUUCAAUGGGAGCAAGUACUGAGCCCCAGGAAGCAGUCUCACUAGAGCCAAGAGGAAGAUCUGCUCCGGAUUCUCCUGUGUCCUGAACCUCCUGGUCCCAGAUGCCUCCUUCUUAGGGGCUAGGAAAUUGUUGGGCUCUGUUUGCCUUCCAGGGACGGUGUAGGGAUCAGGCUACUUGUGACUGUGCCUGCGGUCCCAGUAGCUGAUCAGGAACAGAUUUCCUCUAAUUAAACUUGGGAGGAAACAAAAAGGUUAAGCUGAGUACAAAAGAUGCCUUUUCUAAAAAUCCCUGCAACCUCGGCUCAUGUAGCUGAGCGGAGGAGUGCUCAUGUGGACGCUGUGGGGUCUUGGAGGAUGAGCAACCUCGGGUCAUUUAGCUGAGCCACCAACACACAGGAGGCAAGGAAUGA
rnacentral:lncRNA from 1 species